rnacentral:rRNA from 1 species
UACAUAGGUGGCAAGCGUUGUUCGGAAUUACUGGGCGUAAAGGGCGCGUAGGCGGUCGCCUAAGUCGGACGUGAAAUCCCUCAGCUCAACUGGGGAACUGCGUCUGAGACUGGCCGGCUUGAGUGCAGGAGAGGAACGCGGAAUUCCAGGUGUAGCGGUGAAAUGCGUAGAUAUCUGGAGGAACACCGGUGGCGAAGGCGGCGUUCUGGACUGCUACUGACACUGAGGAACGAAAGCCAGGGGAGCAAACGGG